rnacentral:lncRNA from 10 species
AAAAUUUGGGUACCUAUAUAAAAUAAUCAAUGUGACAAGAAACAGUAGUCUCACAAUGAAAUAACUGUCACAACAUUUUAAAUUAUAGGCAAUGCACAAGAAGUUCACGAUGCAGUGGCUGUGAGAAUCCAGAUACACUGAAACACAUUCUGCGUCAUCUAAUUCUACCUCAAGACCAUUUUGAUUAAUGAUACAGCAUCAGUGAAAUUUGUGGGUCAAUCUUAGUUUACAAACUGAAGCGAGAAGACACGCAGGCUAGGAAACCAUGGCACAGAAGAUUAAGCGGUUUAACUCUGGUCAAGAAACUAGUAGCUGCUUAAGUAAUUAUUGUAUCCAGUCUCCUUCCUUCUUCACACUGCACACUUGAAUAACUGAGCUGCCGCAAGCAACCUGACCUUCAGAAGUAGAUGGGUCUGCCUCUAUCAAGAUUGCAUGCAUUCAGAGCCAAAGAAAAUACAAAACUGUCCAACACUUCAAGAAGGGAGAAGAAACAUUAGGAGAAAUAUCUAAUGUAGAUAAUAUGUUGAUCGGUGCAGCAAACCACCAUGGCACGUGUAUACCUAUGUAACAAACCUGCACAUUCUGCAUAUGUAUCCCAGAACUUAAAGUAUUAAAAAAACUAUAAUUUCUACCUUUUUGACUGUACCAUCCCAUCAUUUUCAUCAGCUUAAUAAAUGUCAAAAC